rnacentral:rRNA from 1 species
UAGCUACAGGCUUAACACAUGCAAGUCGAGGGGAAACGACAUCGAAAGCUUGCUUUUGAUGGGCGUCGACCGGCGCACGGGUGAGUAACGCGUAUCCAACCUGCCCACCACUUGGGGAUAACCUUGCGAAAGUAAGACUAAUACCCAAUGACGUCUCUAGAAGACAUCUGAAAGAGAUUAAAGAUUUAUCGGUGAUGGAUGGGGAUGCGUCUGAUUAGCUUGUUGGCGGGGUAACGGCCCACCAAGGCGACGAUCAGUAGGGGUUCUGAGAGGAAGGUCCCCCACAUUGGAACUGAGACACGGUCCAAACUCCUACGGGAGGCAGCAGUGAGGAAUAUUGGUCAAUGGACGAGAGUCUGAACCAGCCAAGUAGCGUGCAGGAUGACGGCCCUAUGGGUUGUAAACUGCUUUUAUAAGGGAAUAAAGUGAGUCUCGUGAGACUUUUUGCAUGUACCUUAUGAAUAAGGACCGGCUAAUUCCGUGCCAGCAGCCGCGGUAAUACGGAAGGUCCGGGCGUUAUCCGGAUUUAUUGGGUUUAAAGGGAGCGUAGGCCGGAGAUUAAGCGUGUUGUGAAAUGUAGACGCUCAACGUCUGCACUGCAGCGCGAACUGGUUUCCUUGAGUACGCACAAAGUGGGCGGAAUUCGUGGUGUAGCGGUGAAAUGCUUAGAUAUCACGAAGAACUCCGAUUGCGAAGGCAGCUCACUGGAGCGCAACUGACGCUGAAGCUCGAAAGUGCGGGUAUCGAACAGGAUUAGAUACCCUGGUAGUCCGCACGGUAAACGAUGGAUGCCCGCUGUUGGUCUGAAUAGGUCAGCGGCCAAGCGAAAGCAUUAAGCAUCCCACCUGGGGAGUACGCCGGCAACGGUGAAACUCAAAGGAAUUGACGGGGGCCCGCACAAGCGGAGGAACAUGUGGUUUAAUUCGAUGAUACGCGAGGAACCUUACCCGGGCUUGAAUUGCAGAGGAAGGAUUUGGAGACAAUGACGCCCUUCGGGGCCUCUGUGAAGGUGCUGCAUGGUUGUCGUCAGCUCGUGCCGUGAGGUGUCGGCUUAAGUGCCAUAACGAGCGCAACCCCUCUCCUUAGUUGCCAUCAGGUCAAGCUGGGCACUCUGGGGACACUGCCACCGUAAGGUG